rnacentral:rRNA from 1 species
AGGACGAACGCUGGCGGCGCGCCUAACACAUGCAAGUCGAACGGAGCUGAGAGGAGCUUGCUUUUCUUAGCUUAGUGGCGAACGGGUGAGUAACGCGUGAGUAACCUGCCCUGGAGUGGGGGACAACAGUUGGAAACGACUGCUAAUACCGCAUAAGCCCACGGCCCGGCAUCGGGCUGAGGGAAAAGGAUUAAUUCGCUUCAGGAUGGACUCGCGUCCAAUUAGCUAGUUGGUGAGGUAACGGCCCACCAAGGCGACGAUUGGUAGCCGGACUGAGAGGUUGAACGGCCACAUUGGGACUGAGACACGGCCCAGACUCCUACGGGAGGCAGCAGUGGGGGAUAUUGCACAAUGGGGGAAACCCUGAUGCAGCGACGCCGCGUGGAGGAAGAAGGUUUUCGGAUUGUAAACUCCUGUCGUUAGGGACGAUAAUGACGGUACCUAACAAGAAAGCACCGGCUAACUACGUGCCAGCAGCCGCGGUAAAACGUAGGGUGCAAGCGUUGUCCGGAAUUACUGGGUGUAAAGGGAGCGCAGGCGGACCGGCAAGUUGGAAGUGAAAACUAUGGGCUCAACCCAUAAAUUGCUUUCAAAACUGCUGGCCUUGAGUAGUGCAGAGGUAGGUGGAAUUCCCGGUGUAGCGGUGGAAUGCGUAGAUAUCGGGAGGAACACCAGUGGCGAAGGCGACCUACUGGGCACCAACUGACGCUGAGGCUCGAAAGCAUGGGUAGCAAACAGGAUUAGAUACCCUGGUAGUCCAUGCCGUAAACGAUGAUUACUAGGUGUUGGAGGAUUGACCCCUU